rnacentral:rRNA from 1 species
CUACGGGAGGCUCCAGUGAGGAAUAUUGCACAAUGGGGGGAACCCUGAUGCAGCAACGCCGCGUGGAGGAUGACGCAUUUCGGUGUGUAAACUCCUUUUAUAUGUCAAGAAAAUGACGGUAGCAUAUGAAUAAGCACCGGCUAACUCCGUGCCAGCAGCCGCGGUAAUACGGAGGGUGCAAGCGUUACUCGGAAUCACUGGGCGUAAAGGACGCGUAGGCGGGUUGGAAAGUCAGGUGUGAAAUCCUACAGCUUAACUGUAGAACUGCACUUGAAACUUCUAAUCUAGAGUAUGGGAGGGGGAGAUGGAAUUAGUGGUGUAGGGGUAAAACCCGUAGAUAUCACUAGGAAUACCUAAAGCGAAAGCGAUCUCCUGGAACAUUACUGACGCUAAGGCGUGAAAGCGUGGGGAGCAAACAGGAUUAGAUACCCCUGUAGUC